UCCUUGAUGGUCCAGUGGCUAAGACUCCAUGCUCCCAAUGCAGGGGGCUCAGGUUCAAUCCCUGGUCAAGGAA
rnacentral:tRNA from 1 species